AGGCCAUUAGUUUAAUAAAAACACCUGAUUUCGGCUCAGGCACUUAUGGUUAGACUCCAUAAUCGCCCA
rnacentral:tRNA from 1 species